GCGGGUACAGUUGGGUUUCUAUCAAACUUACAGAGGACUAACGUGGCUCUAACAAGGGCCAAGCAUUGCUUAUGGAUUGUGGGGAAUGGAACCACUCUGUUCAACAGCAA